rnacentral:rRNA from 1 species
AUUGAACGCUGGCGGCAGGCCUAACACAUGCAAGUCGAGCGGAUGAAGGGAGCUUGCUCCUGGAUUCAGCGGCGGACGGGUGAGUAAUGCCUAGGAAUCUGCCUGGUAGUGGGGGAUAACGUCCGGAAACGGGCGCUAAUACCGCAUCCGUCCUGUGGGCGCAAGUGGGGGAUCUUCGGACCUCUCGCUAUCAUAUUAGCCUAGGUCGGAUUAGCUAGUUGGUGGGGUAAAGGCCUACCAAGGCGACGAUCCGUAACUGGUCUGAGAGGAUGAUCAGUCAGAUGGGAACUGAGACACGGUCCAGACUCCUACGGGAGGCAGCAGUGGGGAAUAUUGGACAAGGGGCGAAAGCCUGAUCCAGCCAUGCGGGGUGUGGGAAGAAGGUCUUCGGAUUGUAAAGCACUUUAAGUUGGGAGGAAGGGCAGUAAGUUAAUACCUUGCUGUUUUGACGUUACCAACAGAAUAAGCACCGGCUAACUUCGUG